UACGUAGGCAGCAAGCGUUGUUCGGAGUUACUGGGCGUAAAGGGUGCGUAGGCGGUCCUAUAAGUAUGGUGUGAAAUCUCCCGGCUUAACUGGGAGGGUGCGCUAUAGACUGUGGGACUAGGGUGUGGGAGAGGAAAGUGGAAUUCCUGGUGUAGCGGUGAAAUGCGUAGAUAUCAGGAGGAACACCGGUGGUGUAAACGGCUUUCUGGACCAUAACUGACGCUGAGGCACGAAAGCGUGGGUAGCAAACAGG
rnacentral:rRNA from 1 species